rnacentral:lncRNA from 1 species
AUUUAUUUCCCAAUUCAACAUUUUUCACAUGGUGUAAGCAAAAUGAAAACAGUCUGGAAAUAAUAAAUGAGGGCUGUCUUUCUAGGGGAAGAGGUGGGUAAUGGAUGAGGCUUCAAUCUGUGCUCUGCUCAGGGGCUGUUCCGUUUAGUCCUGGCACUUCUGCAGUGAUGAAGGUCUUUUCCUCACUCAAACUCCACUUUACAAUGGUUUCUCUGGGGACCGUGGCUGAGUGACAUUUACUAUCCUCAAUUCAAGUUAACAGAUUGCCCUCAAAGACCUGGAAUUUACACUGCACAACUACGGGGUCACAAGGUGGCUGCUGCUUUCUCCACUACUCAUUGGACCCUCAGUGAGUCCCUACUACAUGCAGCCCCUCAGGGAGAGGAUGCAGAGCACUUGUUCUGAAGAUGCUGCUAGUCCAGGAAAGCCAUAAAGAGUUAGAAGUGUGAUAAGGACUCAGAGCCAGAGUGUCCUCUGGGACCUUGAAGGCAGGUAUGCCCUGUUCCCAUUAGAGACCUUGUGGUGGCUGUGAAAUGCACCUCUCAGAGUUCCUACUCCUUGAAGAGUAAUUAACUAACAGCUCCAGUUCCUGCACUCUGCAGUCCAUCACCAUAUUCACACAGAGGCCCUGAUUCCCACAGGCUGCUCCCAGCCAAUGAAUGAGAGCAGCAGGGAUGCCAUGGCAGACCCAUUCCUGCGAUAUAUGGGACUACUCUGAUGGGCAACUUCCAAUCAGAGACUCCCCAGUGGCCUUUCCAACACUACCUUAUAACCCCCACAGCAAGCUAAAGCUCUUCCUACCCUACCCAAUCCUCCUUCCUUCCCUCUCUCCUUUACAGAGAUCAGACCUUUCUUAUGGUCUGAUGGCUUUCCCAGCCUCCUCUGACUCCCAUCUCAUUUCCCCAGUAAAUCUUUCAUACAUCUAAUCCCAUCUUUGUGUCUGCUUCAUGGAGGGUCUGAAUUAAUGUAGUUUUGAUUCCCCCUACAACUUCCCUGUUGGGAAUUUGCUGCCAAGCUCCUGCUGUACCCCCAGAGAGGGGAGACUUCUUGCCUCCAGGAGCUGCUGUUCUAUACUUAGCGUUUCCCAGCCAAAUCAUCCUUGGACUAACUACCUGUGAUCUAUAGCACAGACCAUAGCUGUGAAGAAAACGGGUACCCAACUAGACGCCUAUCUGGACACAAUAGUCAACAGGAUGGAUACAGGGCGUUCUCUCCUGGAGAUGCCAGUCAGUUCAUGGAGUUGACUUGACUUGCCACAGGAGCAUGGAGGAUGGAUCACCUGCACCCUCCUCCCUCCCAUCCUCUUUGCCUCUUUAUGAGAUGCCUCUUUAUGGGAUAGCUCACAAGGUGAACAGCAACUAUCUAAUAAUCCAACUGGUGUCCCCUCUCCAAUAAGGGUUAUAACAAUCUCAUGUGGAUAUGAGAUCCUUACAGGGUAAGAAAUUUCCUCCAGUCUCAUUGUCAGUAGCCAUUUUUACUCCUGAAGCUAUGUACUUGGAGUGCCUGGACCAAGAUGGAGUAAACAAGCAAAUAGGUCCCUGAGUCCUGUGGGCACUCUGGUACUCCUAGCAGAGUGAAGGCUGUUCUGGAGCUAUUAGCAGCAUCACAAGCCACUGCUCACAACCUGGAAGGAGAAUUCCCAUACCCAACCACUGUGUGUCCCAGCGUGUGAUAUCCAUCCACAAGGAGUUCAUUCAAACUGGUCUGUUGAACAAUAAAAUAUCCCAUCAAACACAUUGUCACUGUAUAGCAACAUCCACCACAAACUGAAAUGCUCUCUGGCAACGACACGUGGUUCCAUCCUAACUUUUGAAAUGUAAGAAUGGGCACCACAGAAGAGGGUGGUACCAAGAGCCCAGCUGAGGGUCCUGCACCCCAUCAAGUCACUUCCCAAUCAGUCACCUGCUUACUUUGUGACUUUUCUGGGCCUCUGAUCCCAGUCUCAGUGAGUGCUGUCGACUAGAAUGCAAGCUCCACAAAGGCACAGAUUUUUGUCUGUUAUGUUUGCUGCUGUGUUCCCAGUGUCUAGAGCAGUAUAUGGCAUGCAGAAAGGCCUUGAAAAAUAUUUGACGAGUAGGCGAAUAAAUGGGAGCCCCUAAAAAGCAGUACCCUUGAGCCAGUACUUGCAAGCAGUACUUGGUGAGCAGUCAUAAAGAAUGUGUUAAGUGAAUGAAUACAUUUCCAAAGUUAAAAUGCCCAAACAAACCAAUCCCUUUGAGAGUGGUUGAGUCUCUUCUGUGUUCCUCUGAGUGGAUCAGGGCUUGUAGCAUCAUCCUAAGCAACAUUCCCUAAGUUUUCCUGCAAGGAGCCACAGUGGAGGAAGACUCCAGAUUACAUGACUAAUCUGGGAGGGAUAUUAAGAUGUUACCUGUGGGUCACCAGGACACAUUCUCAUCACCACU